GCCCGGAGUGGGGAAUAACUCGGGGAAACUCGAGCUAAUACCGCAUACCCUCGGGAUGGUCGCAUGGCCGACCGAGGAAAGAUUUAUCGCUUCAGGAGGGUCUCGCGGCCUAUCAGCUAGUUGGUGGGGUAACGGCCUACCAAGGCAACGACGGGUAGCUGGUUUGAGAGAACGAUCAGCCACACUGGGACUGAGACACGGCCCAGACUCCUACGGGAGGCAGCAGUGGGGAAUCUUGCGCAAUGGGCGAAAGCCUGACGCAGCAACGCCGCGUGCGGGAUGACGGCCUUCGUGGUUGUAAACCGCUUUCAGCAGGGACGAAAAUGACGGUACCUGCAGAAGAAGCCCCGGCUAACUACGUGCCAGCAGCCGCGGUAAUACGUAGGGGGCAAGCGUUGUCCGGAUUCAUUGGGCGUAAAGAGCUCGUAGGCGGUUCAGUAAGUCGGGUGUGAAAGCUCCGAGCUCAACUCGGAGAGGCCACCCGAUACUGCUGUGACUUGAGUCCAGUAGAGGAGCGUGGAACUCCUGGUGUAGCGGUGGAAUGCGCAGAUAUCAGGAAGAACACCUGCAGCGAAGGCGGCGCUCUGGGCUGGAACUGACGCUGAGGAGCGAAAGCGUGGGUAGCAAACAGGAUUAGAUACCCUGGUAGUCCACGCCGUAAACGUUGGGCACUAGGUGUGGGGAGCCGUCAACGCUCUCUGUGCCGUAGCUAACGCAUUAAGUGCCCCGCCUGGGGAGUACGGCCGCAAGGCUAAAACUUAAAGGAAUUGACGGAAGGGCGAAUUU
rnacentral:rRNA from 1 species